rnacentral:rRNA from 1 species
AUUGAACGCUGGCGGCAUGCCUUACACAUGCAAGUCGAACGGCAGCACGGAGCUUGCUCUGGUGGCGAGUGGCGAACGGGUGAGUAAUAUAUCGGAACGUACCCUAGAGUGGGGGAUAACGUAGCGAAAGUUACGCUAAUACCGCAUACGAUCUAAGGAUGAAAGUGGGGGAUCGCAAGACCUCAUGCUCGUGGAGCGGCCGAUAUCUGAUUAGCUAGUUGGUAGGGUAAAAGCCUACCAAGGCAUCGAUCAGUAGCUGGUCUGAGAGGACGACCAGCCACACUGGAACUGAGACACGGUCCAGACUCCUACGGGAGGCAGCAGUGGGGAAUUUUGGACAAUGGGCGAAAGCCUGAUCCAGCAAUGCCGCGUGAGUGAAGAAGGCCUCCGGGUUGUAAAGCUCUUUUGUCAGGGAAGAAACGGUGAGAGCUAAUAUCUCUUGCUAAUGACGGUACCUGAAGAAUAAGCACCGGCUAACUACGUGCCAGCAGCCGCGGUAAUACGUAGGGUGCAAGCGUUAAUCGGAAUUACUGGGCGUAAAGCGUGCGCAGGCGGUUUUGUAAGUCUGAUGUGAAAUCCCCGGGCUCAACCUGGGAAUUGCAUUGGAGACUGCAAGGCUAGAAUCUGGCAGAGGGGGGUAGAAUUCCACGUGUAGCAGUGAAAUGCGUAGAUAUGUGGAGGAACACCGAUGGCGAAGGCAGCCCCCUGGGUCAAGAUUGACGCUCAUGCACGAAAGCGUGGGGAGCAAACAGGAUUAGAUACCCUGGUAGUCCACGCCCUAAACGAUGUCUACUAGUUGUCGGGUCUUAAUUGACUUGGUAACGCAGCUAACGCGUGAAGUAGACCGCCUGGGGAGUACGGUCGCAAGAUUAAAACUCAAAGGAAUUGACGGGGACCCGCACAAGCGGUGGAUGAUGUGGAUUAAUUCGAUGCAACGCGAAAAACCUUACCUACCCUUGACAUGGCUGGAAUCCUUGAGAGAUCAGGGAGUGCUCGAAAGAGAACCAGUACACAGGUGCUGCAUGGCUGUCGUCAGCUCGUGUCGUGAGAUGUUGGGUUAAGUCCCGCAACGAGCGCAACCCUUGUCAUUAGUUGCUACGAAAGGGCACUCUAAUGAGACUGCCGGUGACAAACCGGAGGAAGGUGGGGAUGACGUCAAGUCCUCAUGGCCCUUAUGGGUAGGGCUUCACACGUCAUACAAUGGUACAUACAGAGCGCCGCCAACCCGCGAGGGGGAGCUAAUCGCAGAAAGUGUAUCGUAGUCCGGAUUGUAGUCUGCAACUCGACUGCAUGAAGUUGGAAUCGCUAGUAAUCGCGGAUCAGCAUGUCGCGGUGAAUACGUUCCCGGGUCU